CUUGUGAGCAUGCUCACUGAAGCAGGGGGUGCAGUACAGAACAUUCCUGAAGCAGAGGGGCAGAGCUUAACAGAACCUUCUCAUGCGGGGACAGAGCUUAACAGAGCAUUUCUGAAAGAUCACACAGUUCAAACAGUCACAAACCAUUUUGAUACAUUGGGCGGGAGCCCAGCAACCCAAACUUACAUUUCCAAAACAACAUUCUGUGGGAAAAAAAUGGAGGCAAGGCAAGGGCCUAUCUUAUUGUGUAGCACUUCUCUAUCACCACCUGCCUCACAAGUGCAAGCUCCUCAGUUUGAUCCCUAGUACCAAAAAAAAAAAAAAAAAAGACUUAAGAUCCUGGCUUCAAUCCCCAGUACUGGGGAAAAAAAGGAAAAGAAAAAGAAAACAAAAGAAUUGAGCUGAACAACACUAUACACCACCCAGCUCUAACAGAUAUCAAUAGAACCCUGGACCCAGCAACCACAGAAUACACAUUUUUCUCAAGCUCACAUGGAAAUAUUCUCCAGGGAAGAUCUUAUGGAUCGAAUUCAGGACCUUGCACUCUCCCAGGCGCAGGCACCACUGAGCUAAAUCCCGGGCCCCCAUAGACUUCCCAACUGCAGCACUGACAUCUAAAAGACAAGAGAGCAAUGCCUUCAAAAUCUGAAGAAACUCCACUCCGCCCAAAGGAACCCAAACAAGGGCUCCAAAAGAUGGCUGCACAGUUCACCGCAAAGGUCACUCACAAAAGCCAAAAGAGCCAAGGAUGGAGCUCAGCAGCACUGCACCUGUCUGGCAAGCACAAG
rnacentral:lncRNA from 1 species